GUAGCGUGGGCUCGUGUCAGUUGCGCAGGACAUUUUGGAGUUUCCACUGAUACCUAAUCAUGAUCAAAUUGAGCUCAGAAGCGAAGGACAGACUUAGCAUAGUUCUCAACAUCGGGAAGACUAUUUUCCACUGGGGGUUUGUCCCAACGGUUCUUUAUCUAGGCUUCAAGAAAGGAGCUGACCCAGGAAUGCCUGAAAUCACACCAUUGAGCUUACUGUGGCAGUGAGACAGUACGCUCCCGGCGGACCCCGCCUCCGCCGCCGCCGCCGCGCGUGAGGGGUCCCCCGGGCUUCCGCGGGCCUUCAGGACAGAGGACCGGCGCACCGCUCCCUCCGGCCACCGCUGGCUCCGAAGCAGUGAUGUCCUCGCUGUGGUGUUACGUCGCGCCAUGUGUCAUCUCCUAUCGUGAACCGUCAAUAAAAUCCGUAUGAAUGUGAA